GAUGUGGACACGGCCGUGUAUUUUUGUGCAGCAAGUUAUACACAGUUCUGAAGAUUCUGUCUCUCUUCUACAAAAACCCUUCGCUGUUUCUGUGGUCUUUGAAACCAGAAAGAGUAACACAGCUGCUCAAAUUCAUUAUAGUUAUUUUGAUUCAGUGCCAGUUCAAACAGUACAGCUGCCUUUCAUAAAUAUCACAAACAUUUCUUAUAGUUUGCAUUGUUAUUUCUGAAAUAUUUGAAAUUCAAAGUAUCGUCGGAUUUAAAAUCCCAGCAUCACUCGAUCGCCCUGCACUGUCAAGGCGAGACCAAAGAUUCUGGGGCCCUUUGAAUGGGGUCAUGAUGGGAGGGGAAUAAGGGGGAAGCUCAUCCUCCUCUUUUUAAACUCACACCAUCACUUCCUCCCUCCCUCAGGUCCUGCUUAGUGCAGUUUGCUGUUUCUCUUUUUCCUCCCUGAAGGGUGAAUAUGGCCAGAGUUGUCAUAUUUGCAGUCAUUUUGCUCUGGGAGAAAGGUCACAGUGAAGACAGUGGUGUUACACAGAAUCCAAACAUUCUCUGGGCUCCUAUAGGGACUUCUGGUCAGAUGAACUGCAGUCACAACAAGGGCGUCAAUUACAACCAAAUGUACUGGUACCACCAGCGCCCAGGGGAGAACAUUCAGCUCAUUGUGUUUACUGCUGUUGGAGCAGAGUGUCAGAUGUAAUGAUGACUGUGACAAGCAGACACUCCUGUCGGCAGCUUCACCCAUUUAUAUUCAGUGAUGUCACUUCCUGUCUGCCAGAAGUCUUCAAAGUCAGUGACAUUUCUCUCUGUAUCGAAUUCUGCUGUCAACAUGUUCCAGAGACAUAACAUUCUUCUUAUUUUUCUAUGGGUGACAGGGCUCUCACUCGGCAAGAAAGUUAAUCAGAGUCCUCCUGCUCGUUUGGUCAAACAUAAUGAUCCUGCAGAAUUCAGCUGUAGCCAUGAAAUUUCGGGUUACUACAUGAUACUAUGGUACCAGCAACAGGAAGGCAAUGAUUUAAAACUCAUAGGAUAUACUUCGAACACUUUGACUACUAUCGAAGAAGUAUAUAAAAAGACAUUUAAUAUAACUGGAGAUGGUUCAAGAGAAACACUCCUCAUUAUUCCCAGAGUGAGAGUUGCAGACACGGCCGUGUAUUUUUGUGCAGCAAGUAUACACAGUCCUGAAGAUCCUCUAUCUCUUGUGCAAAAACACGUCUUUGGUGUAAGGUCUAACUGAUCUCUGAAAGCAGAAUGAGGAACGCAGCUGUUCUAAACCAUUACUGUUCUUCUGAUCCAGUGCCAAGUCAAACAGUACAGCUGGCUUUCAAAAAUAUCACCUUGAUUUCUCAUACAUCUCAUUGUCAGUUCCAACAUCUUGAAAUUCAAAAUAUUCUCUGGUUUAAAAUAAGAGCAUCAGUCGAUUAACCAGAACUGACAAGGAUUAACAAAAGGCAUCUGGGGCUCUUAGAAUAAUGUAAUGAUGGUGGUUCAUCAAUGGACUAAAAAGUUUCUUCCAGAAUGUACAUUGAAACAAUAAACAGUAAUCAUUUUAAUAAUUUAAUUAUAUAUCCAUCAAUCUGACAAUCAUGUAUUCUGAUCAGAUACAAUACCACUCAAUUCAGGUCGCAAAUUUGACGACUGGAUCAACCUCUCGUUUUUCUUGAGUAGGAACUGGGUGGGAACAUUGUCAGUUGUGCUGGUAGUCCAAUGGUGAUGGCAGACUUGAAGAACUGCCCACACAGGGUAGGUUUACUGUCAUGCAUCAGGCUAACCACCAGAGGGUGGCAGAGCUCAACACUCAUCUUCCCCAGAAUGUAGCAAAUCACAUUCGCCUGUUCCAUAUUUCAUGCUAUGAAUGGAAAAAUAUAUAUUUUUGUUGGUUAUGACUUACUUGAUGUUCAUACGUCCAAAAUAAUUUGGUUACAUUUAAAUGUUUCUGCCAUUCAAAGUAAGUGAUAUUCUUAUCCGUGAGCCUCAAGAUUAUUUACUGCUGGCCUGAAGGAAAUUUCAGUGUGAUGUCACUUCCUCUUUCUUCACAUGAACAUUGAUGUUUUCUGCCAGCACGGUCCUCUAUCAGUCUACUGCACCCAGCUUUCAGCAGCAACAUGCACAAGCAUUUUACUCUUUCAAACUCUGGAUAUGUGUUCAUGAUUUAUUUACACAUAGUGUAUGUCACAGCUCAGGUGGAUGAUGUCACCAUUCAGCUUGUCCCUUCCAAUCUUAUAGAAAACCAUGGAAAAACUGCUGUUUUCUCUUGUAGCUGCAACAACCAAAACUAUGUGCAGAUGUUCUGGUACGUGCAGACAUGGGGGCAAAGGUCUCUGAAAUAUAUAGGUUUACUCUACAGAGCAAACCCCACUCUCGAAGACUACAUAAGUGAAAGAUUCAGGGUAGGUGGGGAUGCCACUACCAAAGGAACC